UACGUAGGGGGCGAGCGUUGUCCGGAUUUAUUGGGCGUAAAGAGCGUGUAGGCGGCCAGGUAGGUCUGCUGUGAAAGUCAAAGGCUCAACCUUUGAAUGUCAGCGGAUACUGCCGGGCUAGAGUCCGGAAGAGGCGAGUGGAACUCCUGGUGUAGCGGUGGAAUGCGCAGAUAUCAGGAAGAACACCCGUGGCGAAGGCGGCUCUCUGGGACGGUACUGACGCUGAGACGCGAAAGCGUGGGGAGCGAACAGG
rnacentral:rRNA from 1 species